AUUGAACGCUAGCGGGAUGCCUUACACAUGCAAGUCGAACGGAUUGGCGAACGGGUGAGUAAUGUAUCGGAACGUGCCCAGUAGCGGGGGAUAACUACGCCAAAGCGUAGCUAAUACCGCAUACUAUUGGAGCGGCCGAUAUCGGAUUAUCUAGUUGUUGGGGUAACGGCUCACCAAGGCCACGAUCCGUAGCUGGUUUGAGAGGAUGACCAGCCACACUGGGACUGAGACACGGCCCAGACUCCUACGGGAGGCAGCAGUGGGGAAUUUUGGACAAUGGGGGAAAGCCUGAUCCAGCCAUCCCGCGUGUGCGAUGAAGGCCUUCGGGUUGUAAAGAACUUUUGGCAGGAAAGCGGUACCUGCAGAAUAAGCACCGGCUAACUACGUGCCAGCCGCCGCGGUAAUUC
rnacentral:rRNA from 1 species